rnacentral:rRNA from 1 species
GACGAACGCUGGCGGCAUGCCUAAUACAUGCAAGUCGAGCGAACAGAUGAAGUGCUUGCACUUCUGACGUUAGCGGCGAACGGGUGAGUAACACGUAAGGAAUCUACCUAUAAGCGGGGGAUAACAUUCGGAAACGGGUGCUAAUACCGCACAAUAUCUUCUUCCGCAUGGAAGAAGAUUGAAAGACGGCUCUGCUGUCACUUAUAGAUGACCUUGCGGUGCAUUAGUUAGUUGGUGGGGUAAUGGCCUACCAAGACGAUGAUGCAUAGCCGACCUGAGAGGGUGAUCGGCCACAUUGGGACUGAGACACGGCCCAAACUCCUACGGGAGGCAGCAGCAGGGAAUCUUCCGCAAUGGGCGAAAGCCUGACGGAGCAAUGCCGCGUGAGUGAAGAAGGCCUUCGGGUCGUAAAACUCUGUUAUAAGAGAAGAACAAAUUGUAGAGUAACUGCUACAGUCUUGACGGUAUCUUAUCAGAAAGCCACGGCUAACUACGUGCCAGCCGCCGCGGUAA